UCCGUGUUAACCACGGCAGUCUCCUUAGAGAGCCCAACUGAAUGCUGGCAACUAAGGACAAGGGUUGCGCUCGUUGCGGGACUUAACCCAACAGGUCACCCCACGAGCUGACGACAGCCAUGCAGCACCUGUCUCCCGGCUGUAUUGCUACAGAGACCGUAUUUCUACGGCUGUCCGGGGAUGUCAAACCCAGGUAAGGUUCUUCGCGUUGCUUCGAAUUAAACCACAUGAUCCACCGCUUGUGCGGGCCCCCGUCAAUUCCUUUGAGUUUUAGUCUUGCGACCGUACUCCCCAGGCGCGGUACUUAUUGCGUUAGCUCCGGCUCGGCAGGGGUCAAUACCCACCUAACCUAGUACCGAUCGUUUACAGCGUGGACUAC
rnacentral:misc_RNA from 1 species